UCCCUUGUGGCUCAGCUGGUAAAGAAUCUGCCUGAAAUGCAGGAGACCUGGGUUCAAUCCCUGGGUUGGGAA
rnacentral:tRNA from 1 species